rnacentral:rRNA from 1 species
AUACGUAGGUGGCAAGCGUUGUCCGGAAUUAUUGGGCGUAAAGCGCGCGCAGGCGGCUUCUUAAGUCUGAUGUGAAAUUCUGCAGCUCAACUGCAGGCGGGCAAUGGAAACUGGGGAGCUUGAGCACAGAAGAGGAGAGUAGAAUUCCACGUGUAGCGGUGAAAUGCGUAGAGAUGUGGAGGAAUACCAGUGGCGAAGGCGGCUCUCUGGUCUGUUACUGACGCUGAGGUGCGAAAGCGUGGGGAGCGAACAGGAUUAGACACCCUGGUAGUCCACGCCGUAAACGAUGUGUGCCAGGUGUUAGGGGGGUCCAACCCCUUAGUGCUGAAGUUAACACAUUAAGCAUUCCGCCUGGGGAGUACGGCCGCAAGGCUGAA